AGAGGUGUAGCUCAGUGGCUGAGCAUCUAUUUUGUACACAGAAGGUCCCAGCUUCCAUUCUUGGCAUCUCCA